rnacentral:lncRNA from 1 species
GUUUCAGAUAAGUGACUGGUAGAUAACUGAGGUGACAUCCUCAAUCUUCAAGGCUUUUUUCUUUCUGAUUCUAUAUACGUACAGAUGAUACAAAGCAAGUUAAAUAUUAGUUCAUUGGUGUCAGUUUAUUCUGUUAAAUAUUGCUGAUUGCUUUCAGGUGACCUAAUGAUUUUUAUUUAUUGAGUCAUAAUUUUUAUUGAAAGAUCAUUGACUAUAUUUUAACCAUCUGAUAUUUAAGCUUUCCAGGCUAAAAGGUGGGUGGAUCACCUUAGGACAGGAGUUCAAGACCAGCCUGGCCAACAUGGAGAAACCCUGUCUCUACCAAAAAUACAAAAAUUAGCCAGCUGUAGUGGUGCACGACUGUAAUCCUAGCUACUCGGGAGGCUGAGACACGAGAAUCACUUGAAACCAGGAAGCAGAGGUUGCAGUGAGCUGAGAUUGUAGCACUACACACCAUCCUGGGUGACAGUGUGAGACUGUCUCGGAAAAAAAAAAAAAUUGAAGAUAUCAUUUGCCAUUUAAUUUUUUUUUUUUUUUUUGGUUUCUUUUUUGGUAUAGCUGUCAAUUUUAAGGCCAAAUCUUUUAUUUUGAAAGAUUUUACCCAUGUUAAUUUCUAUAAUUCUGAAGUCAUUACUCACAGCUAGAAAUAAAUUUAGAAAUAAUCAAUGCACAUCCAAA